rnacentral:lncRNA from 1 species
CACACACCCAGAUCCCCUGGCCUGUGCUUCCUGGUAGAGGUAGAAGAGGCAUCUUGAAGUCAGUGAUAACGGAGAACGAAGGUGCCAUUGAAGAAGGAAAGCAGCACCUCUUUGCCUGUGUUCAAUCCCUCCAUACAAGUGGAAUCAAGGGAGAAUGCGCACAGCCAGGACAGAGGCUGCUCUGAGCUUGGGAGGCACAGCAUCCUCCUAGAUGUCUCUGCAGAACAAACUUUCAAAAGAUAGGAACUUAAUCACAUGGUCCCCGGGGGUUUCUGAUGACUGGAACCACCAGACCCUGUGGGGUGGCCACUGCAACACUGAUGUCAAUAUAAUCCCUAUAUACCACCUCUUUGGUUAUAUCGUCAAUCACUGCAUUUACAACAGGCUGUUCCUGCAAGGCAAAGGCUGAGCUCCUUUUCAAGAUAGCAUGCCCCUUAAAGAAUAAAAUUAGUUUUGGGAAAGAAAAAGUGCCAGUUUCAACAGGCAUAGACUGUCUUGUUGUAAUAAUAAUACUAUAUAAAGCUAUGUUUUGAUGAUAUUAGAUCAAAUAGUCUAUAUACUACUGAAGAUUUUGUGAACAGUCAUUUCAAGUCAUUUUGAAAGAGUAGUACCAACCUGUGGAGAAGGCUAGUAACAG